GGUUAAGCGACUAAGCGUACACGGUGGAUGCCCUGGCAGUCAGAGGCGAUGAAGGACGUGCUAAUCUGCGAUAAGCGUCGGUAAGGUGAUAUGAACCGUUAUAACCGGCGAUUUCCGAAUGGGGAAACCCAGUGUGAUUCGUCACACUAUCAUUAACUGAAUCCAUAGGUUAAUGAGGCGAACCGGGGGAACUGAAACAUCUAAGUACCCCGAGGAAAAGAAAUCAACCGAGAUUCCCCCAGUAGCGGCGAGCGAACGGGGAGCAGCCCAGAGCCUGAAUCAGUGUGUGUGUUAGUGGAAGCGUCUGGAAAGGCGUGCGAUACAGGGUGACAGCCCCGUACACAAAAAUGCACAUGCUGUGAGCUCGAUGAGUAGGGCGGGACACGUGGUAUCCUGUCUGAAUAUGGGGGGACCAUCCUCCAAGGCUAAAUACUCCUGACUGACCGAUAGUGAACCAGUACCGUGAGGGAAAGGCGAAAAGAACCCCGGCGAGGGGAGUGAAAAAGAACCUGAAACCGUGUACGUACAAGCAGUGGGAGCACGCUUAGGCGUGUGACUGCGUACCUUUUGUAUAAUGGGUCAGCGACUUAUAUUCUGUAGCAAGGUUAACCGAAUAGGGGAGCCGAAGGGAAACCGAGUCUUAACUGGGCGUUAAGUUGCAGGGUAUAGACCCGAAACCCGGUGAUCUAGCCAUGGGCAGGUUGAAGGUUGGGUAACACUAACUGGAGGACCGAACCGACUAAUGUUGAAAAAUUAGCGGAUGACUUGUGGCUGGGGGUGAAAGGCCAAUCAAACCGGGAGAUAGCUGGUUCUCCCCGAAAGCUAUUUAGGUAGCGCCUCGUGAAUUCAUCUCCGGGGGUAGAGCACUGUUUCGGCAAGGGGGUCAUCCCGACUUACCAACCCGAUGCAAACUGCGAAUACCGGAGAAUGUUAUCACGGGAGACACACGGCGGGUGCUAACGUCCGUCGUGAAGAGGGAAACAACCCAGACCGCCAGCUAAGGUCCCAAAGUCAUGGUUAAGUGGGAAACGAUGUGGGAAGGCCCAGACAGCCAGGAUGUUGGCUUAGAAGCAGCCAUCAUUUAAAGAAAGCGUAAUAGCUCACUGGUCGAGUCGGCCUGCGCGGAAGAUGUAACGGGGCUAAACCAUGCACCGAAGCUGCGGCAGCGACGCUGAUGCGUUGUUGGGUAGGGGAGCGUUCUGUAAGCCUGUGAAGGUGUGCUGUGAGGCAUGCUGGAGGUAUCAGAAGUGCGAAUGCUGACAUAAGUAACGAUAAAGCGGGUGAAAAGCCCGCUCGCCGGAAGACCAAGGGUUCCUGUCCAACGUUAAUCGGGGCAGGGUGAGUCGACCCCUAAGGCGAGGCCGAAAGGCGUAGUCGAUGGGAAACAGGUUAAUAUUCCUGUACUUGGUGUUACUGCGAAGGGGGGACGGAGAAGGCUAUGUUGGCCGGGCGACGGUUGUCCCGGUUUAAGCGUGUAGGCUGGUUUUCCAGGCAAAUCCGGAAAAUCAAGGCUGAGGCGUGAUGACGAGGCACUACGGUGCUGAAGCAACAAAUGCCCUGCUUCCAGGAAAAGCCUCUAAGCAUCAGGUAACAUCAAAUCGUACCCCAAACCGACACAGGUGGUCAGGUAGAGAAUACCAAGGCGCUUGAGAGAACUCGGGUGAAGGAACUAGGCAAAAUGGUGCCGUAACUUCGGGAGAAGGCACGCUGAUAUGUAGGUGAAGUCCCUCGCGGAUGGAGCUGAAAUCAGUCGAAGAUACCAGCUGGCUGCAACUGUUUAUUAAAAACACAGCACUGUGCAAACACGAAAGUGGACGUAUACGGUGUGACGCCUGCCCGGUGCCGGAAGGUUAAUUGAUGGGGUUAGCGCAAGCGAAGCUCUUGAUCGAAGCCCCGGUAAACGGCGGCCGUAACUAUAACGGUCCUAAGGUAGCGAAAUUCCUUGUCGGGUAAGUUCCGACCUGCACGAAUGGCGUAAUGAUGGCCAGGCUGUCUCCACCCGAGACUCAGUGAAAUUGAACUCGCUGUGAAGAUGCAGUGUACCCGCGGCAAGACGGAAAGACCCCGUGAACCUUUACUAUAGCUUGACACUGAACAUUGAGCCUUGAUGUGUAGGAUAGGUGGGAGGCUUUGAAGUGUGGACGCCAGUCUGCAUGGAGCCGACCUUGAAAUACCACCCUUUAAUGUUUGAUGUUCUAACGUUGACCCGUAAUCCGGGUUGCGGACAGUGUCUGGUGGGUAGUUUGACUGGGGCGGUCUCCUCCUAAAGAGUAACGGAGGAGCACGAAGGUUGGCUAAUCCUGGUCGGACAUCAGGAGGUUAGUGCAAUGGCAUAAGCCAGCUUGACUGCGAGCGUGACGGCGCGAGCAGGUGCGAAAGCAGGUCAUAGUGAUCCGGUGGUUCUGAAUGGAAGGGCCAUCGCUCAACGGAUAAAAGGUACUCCGGGGAUAACAGGCUGAUACCGCCCAAGAGUUCAUAUCGACGGCGGUGUUUGGCACCUCGAUGUCGGCUCAUCACAUCCUGGGGCUGAAGUAGGUCCCAAGGGUAUGGCUGUUCGCCAUUUAAAGUGGUACGCGAGCUGGGUUUAGAACGUCGUGAGACAGUUCGGUCCCUAUCUGCCGUGGGCGCUGGAGAACUGAGGGGGGCUGCUCCUAGUACGAGAGGACCGGAGUGGACGCAUCACUGGUGUUCGGGUUGUCAUGCCAAUGGCACUGCCCGGUAGCUAAAUGCGGAAGAGAUAAGUGCUGAAAGCAUCUAAGCACGAAACUUGCCCCGAGAUGAGUUCUCCCUGACUCCUUGAGAGUCCUGAAGGAACGUUGAAGACGACGACGUUGAUAGGCCGGGUGUGUAAGCGCAGCGAUGCGUUGAGCUAACCGGUACUAAUGAACCGUGAGGCUUAACCUU
rnacentral:rRNA from 1 species